GGGGUUGUAGCUCAGUGGUAGAGCACUUGCCUUGCAAGCAUGAGGCCCUGGGUUCGGUCCCCAGCACCA
rnacentral:tRNA from 1 species